UGUGUGUGUGUGUGUGUGUGUGUGUGAGUGUGUUGUUUGGAGGGAGGUUGCAGGGUGAAGGGUGGAUAUGAGGGGGGACAGGGAGAUGAGUGGGACUGGAGUGCAUGAUGUGAAAUCCACAAAGAAUCCAUUAAAGUUUUCUUUAAAGCUAUGAAUGGGGGUGGGGAAACCAACUUCCUGAUCACUUAAACUGAUUGAUAUGUGGCUCAGUCACCGUUGGUUUUGAGUUUUGUAUAGAUGAUGCUAUAAUACACAGACUCCAGAUGUUUCUUUGGUUUUGUUUGUUUGUUUAAGACAGAUUUGAACAAUGUAGUCCAGGCUGGCCUUAAGGCCUGUCUCUGGAGUGCUGCGGUCAGACAUGAACCAGUCUGUCAGCGCUCAGUUUCUUCAUGUGUAUAUUUCAUGAUCGUGUUUACUUUGUAGGCACCUGUGUUUGUGCCGGGGUGUGCCACAGUAUAGCUAUGGAGGUCAGGGGAUAACUUUCAGGAGGUGAAGGAGUUGGCUCUCCUUCUACCACCUGAAGUCCGGGGAUCGAACUCAAGUCAUCAGGCUUGGCAGCCACCCUUUACCCAGUGAGCCAGGUCACUGGCCCUCAGUGGACGUUAAAGAAGAAACCUGUUUUUAUCAGGGCAUGGCAAUAGAUGCCUACAAUCCUAGAUCUCAGGGGGCAAAAGAGGGAUAAAUGAGGGAUCAAGGUCAUGCUUGGCCAUACUCCACCCUUAUGGCUUCCAAGACCCACCUGCAAUGGCAGUGCCCUGGCUGGGUAUUCAUUGGCUGUGUGACGUUGGUGCCUUCACUCUCCUGAUGAGCACAUCUGAGCUGUUUGCAGUUCCUCACUGGAAGGAGCUGUGCUGCAGUGAGUCUCCCUGUCUGCACAGGUCCUCAGGUGAGUGGCAGAGCCUUCCAGCAUGCCACCCGGGAGGGUGCCACCUCAGUGCCAGGACAAGGCACAGGGUCAAGUUUAUGAGACGAAACCAAAGCUUUCCACCAGCAGCACACACUCCUUCCUGUGUUGGCAGCCUUGAUGAGGCAACUAUGGAGAAAAGCAAUUGAAGCUUGAAUGCUGGGUGCUGGAGAGAUGGCUCGAUGUUUAAGAACUUUGCUGUCUGCUGCUCUUGCAGAGGACCCAUUUGGUCCCCAGCAUUCCUAUCAGAUGACACCCACUCGCUUGUACCUCUAGUUCCGGGAGAUCCAACGCCCUCUUCUGGUCUCUUCAGCACUCUGGUCAGAAGUUGCAGUGAGGUGCUGACACGGAGACCACUGGCUGGGACACCGGUCUGGUUCUGUUCUGGGGCACGGACAUUUCAGAUCAUCUAAGCUCAGCCUGUUCUCGGUGAGACGUUUUGAGAAAAGCUAUGGGCGGCAGGAUUUGUUUCCUCUUCAUCCAGCCCUUUGUUUGUUUCUUGAAUAAGUUGUAUAUUUCAAGGAAUUUGUCCAUUUU